CCUCACAGCGGAGGUGACCAGGAGGCCAUCUCCUGGGCUCAGAACGCAGAAGGACAGCAGAUGGCAGGAUGCCAGUGCCUCACCUGAUGACCACACUGUUGGGUUUGCGAGCCAGGCGGUCUACUUCUUCCAUGGAGAUCUGGUCGAUUUUGUUAUACACCUGAGGUUGAAAAGGCAGAGCUCUCCAUGUCUGCAGGACCCAGGCAGCCACUGAGGCAAAGAGCAAGGAAGGGAUGGCUCUCUCUGCUUUCUCAGAGGUUUGGCUGGGGCAAGGCCAGAGGCAUCCAGCCAUCGGCACUAGAGGAGAGGCCAUAUGGCCUGAAAUCACAGAACCUCUCCUGCACCAGUGCUCUCGGGUGGUAGUACCACUUACAUACAGGCAGGGCAUGUACACCCGGUUGCCCACGAUCACAUCGAUGAACUCAUCUGGGGAGCAGUCUUCUCGGAAAAGCACUUCUGCAUUGAAGAUCUCUGAGGGCUCAGAUUAAGGGCAACCUGUGUGCCAGCAGCCUCCGCUGCUCUUUAGUAGAGGCCCCGAAGAGCCACACAGGAAAUACACUGACUGGAAGAGCCUGCAGCCAUGAUCUGCUUGUGAGGGUUUACAAGCUUUUAAGCUGUGAGGAGUCCUCUCAUUUCCCAACUCUCAAGUCAUAAUACAUAGAAGUUUCAACCAAUAAACAAUUUAAAUCUUC